GUAGGGAAUAUUGGUCAAUGGACGAAAGUCUGAACCAGCCAUUCCGCGUGCAGGAAGAAGAUUCUAUGGAUUGUAAACUGCUUUUAGCAGAGAAGAAACGCCUUCAUUGAUGAGGGUUUGACGGUAUCUGCGGAAUAAGCACCGGCUAACUCCGUGCCAGCAGCCGCGGUAAUACGGGGGGUGCAAGCGUUAUCCGGAAUCACUGGGUUUAAAGGGUGCGUAGGCGGGAAAUUAAGUCAGUGGUGAAAGUCUGUUGCUUAACGAUAGAAUUGCCGUUGAUACUGAUUUUCUUGAAUUGGGUUGAGGUUAGCGGAAUGUGACAUGUAGCGGUGACAUGCAUAGAUAUGUCAUGGAACACCAAUUGCGAAGGCAGCUAGCUGGGCCUUGAUUGACGCUGAGGCACGAAAGCGUGGGUAGCGAACAGGAUUAGAAACCCGGGUAGUCC
rnacentral:rRNA from 1 species